AGCAAAGUGAUGAAGUCCUAAUAUCUGAAUAUGAUGUGGAUUUCUUAGUUCAUAUGGUCUUCAAAGUUCUCUGAUUGCU
rfam:Glycine soja cultivar W05 scaffold175_18, whole genome shotgun sequence.